AGAGUUUGAUCCUGGCUCAGGACGAACGCUGGCGGCGUGCUUAACACAUGCAAGUGGUGCGACGAACCAGGGCUUGCCCUGGGGCUAAGCCGCGAACGGGUGAGUAACACGUGAGUAAUCUGCCCCGAUGACCGGGACAACCCGAGGAAACUCGGGCUAAUACCGGAUGUGGUGCACAGGCAUAAGCUUGUGUACUAAAGGAAGCUUCGGCCUCCGCAUUGGGAGGAGCUCGCGGCCCAUUAGCUUGUUGGUGGGGUCAAGGCCUACCAAGGCAACGAUGGGUAGCUGGUCUGAGAGGACGAUCAGCCACACUGGGACUGAGACACGGCCCAGACUCCUACGGGAGGCAGCAGUGGGGAAUCUUGCUGCAAUGCGCGAAAGCGUGACGCAGCAACGCCGCGUGGGGGAAGACGGCCUUCGGGUUGUAAACCCCUUUCAGGAGGGACGAAGGUUCACCGGUUAACAGCCGUGUGGAUUGACGGUACCUCCACAAGAAGC
rnacentral:rRNA from 1 species